rnacentral:snRNA from 1 species
CGGCUGUCAGCGGACUGCUC